GCAAAGUUAUGACAACCAUAAACUACAGUGAAUGGAAAAUGUAAAUGACCAUGUGCCAUACGUUUAAGAAAAUUCAAUCUGGAGUGAAGCUGCAGGCUUAGAAGCUUCCGCAUGAAAAUGAACUGCAAACGUCAUACUAGAUAAAAUUAAAGAGACCUCUUGCAAAAUUCUACAUUCCACCUCAGCAGCGUUAACUCCAUCAUGAACACAUCAAGAAUACAGAUUUGGAGGGGGAUAUAUUCGAGUUGUACUGAUUUAUUUUCUUGGAAGAUGAGGCUUGAUUGAUUCUACAACCACCCUUCCAUCAUAUGACAAUGAUGCAAAUAUCCAUGGCUCUCGACAGCUCCAAGCAAGUCCAUACACACUGUCUUCGUAGUCACUAUAUGAAUUAAGCAAUGGAUCCACUGGCUUAUUAGGGGAGUCAAAGCUCUCUGGAGUUGGUUCGUCACUACUAGGAAGAGAAGCCAGCCACAGAUUGACCGCAGAAUCAGUUCCAGCACUCAGAAUUAAGUCUUCAUGUUCGGGAUUGCACUUGACAGUCCAUGUCCAGUGAGUAUGUCCAGGGAGAUCAAGGACUGGAAACUUCAGCAUUCUAAGAUCCCAUAUAUGUAUCCCAGAUUCAUCUUCAGCCGUUACAAGAGUAUACUCUCUCUUCACAUUGUAAUCCAAAUUACGGACAUGGGGAUGAUCGAUUGAAUUUGUUUUCUUCAUUGUCCGUAGAUCCCAAAGUUGGACUGAUGAUUCACUUGUCAGUGCCAGAGCAUUAUAAUCAUGGGGAUCCCAGGCGCCCCCAGUUAACGAAUGUAGCACACCUGCUGAUUCUUGUGAUUGUACCUGUGCAUUCUUCUUUGAAGUAUCAAAGCUCCAGAGGAAAAGAUUCUGUUCAUCAAUGCUAACCAACUUGUCAUGCCUUCCUGUUGGCCACCAAAGUGUGCACUUUAUCUUCGAAUUAUGAGCAUCAAGAGAUGCAAUCCUCUCUAGUUGUGGAGAAUUCGAUUGGCCAUACAACUCAGGGAUCUGCCAUAUUGCUGCCCCAUAUGUUUCACCGGAAGAAAAAACAGUAGAGAAAAUCCGUUGAUCGAAGGGGCACGACGCAAGGUCCCAGAUCUCAUUAGGAUGAGAAAAAAGACCUUCGCAUAGCAAUUCAGUGCCAGCGGAAGAAAUCCGGAUCAAAU
rnacentral:misc_RNA from 1 species